rnacentral:misc_RNA from 1 species
CUAGGGAGCCGGCCAUAGGGCCGGCGACGUUCUCCACUUUGAUCACGGAGAACGGUACUAAUGUCGACGAGCUCGUCGUCCUGGCUUCGGCCAGGCGCAAUCUGCUGAGUUUUGAGGGACUGAUCGCAGGAAUCACCUGUGAUUGCUCCUCGGCG